rnacentral:misc_RNA from 1 species
GAUGAAGAACGCAGCGAAAUGCGAUACGUAAUGUGAAUUGCAGAAUUCAGUGAAUCAUCGAGUCUUUGAACGCACAUUGCGCCCCCUGGUAUUCCGGGGGGCAUGCCUGUCCGAGCGUCAUUGCUGCCCUCAAGCACGGCUUGUGUGUUGGGCCUCCGUCCUCCUCCCGGGGGACGGGCCCGAAAGGCAGCGGCGGCACCGCGUCCGGUCCUCGAGCGUAUGGGGCUUCGUCACCCGCUCUUGUAGGCCCGGCCGGCGCUUGCCGACACAUCAAUCUUUUUUCCAGGUUGACCUCGGAUCAGGUAGGGAUACCCGCUGAACUUAAGCAUAUCAAUAAGCGGAGGA